rnacentral:ncRNA from 1 species
AAUAACUAAUUCGUUAGGGACUAGUACUUUAUUUUAUUUUUAUAGAGAGUUGAUGGCUGGUGAAAAUCAACAAAAUAGAUAAAAGAAUUCCAUCCCUGAAAUAGAGAGCAAAGAGAUUUGUUCCAGUUUAUGACUGUUAUCAAUAGUAAAGUGCGAUGCAGUUAUUUAUGUGCAUUGAAUUUGGGUGGCACCGCGAUCAGAUAAUAAGACACGUUUUUUCGCCCCAAUG